rnacentral:rRNA from 1 species
UUGAACGCUGGCGGCAUGCUUUACACAUGCAAGUCGAACGGCAGCGCGGGCUUCGGCCUGGCGGCGAGUGGCGAACGGGUGAGUAAUGCAUCGGAACGUGCCCAGUAGUGGGGGAUAGCCCGGCGAAAGCCGGAUUAAUACCGCAUACGACCUGAGGGUGAAAGCGGGGGACCGAAAGGCCUCGCGCUAUUGUAGCGGCCGAUGUCGGAUUAGCUAGUUGGUGGGGUAAAGGCUUACCAAGGCGACGAUCCGUAGCUGGUCUGAGAGGACGACCAGCCACACUGGGACUGAGACACGGCCCAGACUCCUACGGGAGGCAGCAGUGGGGAAUUUUGGACAAAGGGGGCAACCCUGAUCCAGCCAUGCCGCGUGCGGGAAGAAGGCCUUCGGGUUGUAAACCGCUUUUGUUCGGGAAGAAAUCCUCUGGGCUAAUACCCCGGGGGGAUGACGGUACCGGAAGAAUAAGCACCGGCUAACUACGUG